CUGCGAUGAUGCACUUCUUAGGACACCUUUGGAUUCAUCGUGAAAACAACUGUUCUCUGAGCAGC